UCCGUCCCCAGAGAGGAUGAGACUGAAAGAAACUUAACCCAAAGGUGCCAUGACAUUAGGCUGGAAGUGACACUGAGGUGCUGCUAUCUGGCUGGGCAGCUAAUCUGAUCAUUAGCUACUCCCUGUAGCUCACCAAAGCCAGCCUCUGCUUAGAUCUCACACCCGUUGGUUGCUGUCAGCAAAAGGAGACAGGCUCAAGGAAGACUGGACUCCCAGUUGAGAAUGCACACGGGAUAGGGCACUAGCGGACAUCCUUGCGCCUCAGUUACCCCGCAGAUGGGUCUUUUACUGUGUAAGCAUUUUAUCUGCAUCUCUUCAUUUUCUCUCCUCAUUUCACUUUUUGCCCUAGGAGGUCACAAGCAUCAAUCGUCAUGCAGACUGGAGCUAGAAAAAGAUUGACAAUUUCACCAUGCCUGCCUUAGCAUAUGGCUCUUACAGUGUCUUUUGUUAGUUCCAAUCACUAAGAUGCUGUGUUCCAUGGAAAGGGGCCAUAUUCAUCAAGAAUUUGAGAACCAUGGCUCUAGCGGUCUGAAGCUCC
rnacentral:lncRNA from 1 species